rnacentral:rRNA from 1 species
GACGAACGCUGGCGGCGUGCUUAACACAUGCAAGUCGAACGGUGACGGAGAGCUUGCUCUCCUGAUCAGUGGCGAACGGGUGAGUAACACGUGGGCAACCUGCCCAGACUUCGGGAUAACGCUUCGAAAGAGGUGCUAAUACCGGAUACGAGCUCCUUGGGCAUCCUUGGAGUUGGAAAAGUUUUUCGGUCUGGGAUGGGCCCGCGGCCUAUCAGCUAGUUGGUGAGGUAACGGCUCACCAAAGGCGACGACGGGUAGCCGGCCUGAGAGGGCGACCGGCCACACUGGGACUGAGACACGGCCCAGACUCCUACGGGAGCAGCAGUGGGGAAUAUUGCGCAAUGGGCGAAAGCCUGACGCAGCAACGCCGCGUGAGGGAUGACGGCCU